rnacentral:rRNA from 1 species
UAGGGAAUAUUGGGCAAUGGCCGCAAGGCUGACCCAGCCAUGCCGCGUGCAGGAAGACGGCCCUCUGGGUUGUAAACUGCUUUUGCCGGGGAAGAAAAGGGGCCUUGCGAGGCCCUCUGACGGUACCCGGCGAAUCAGCCACGGCUAACUACGUGCCAGCAGCCGCGGUAAUACGUAGGUGGCAAGCGUUGUCCGGAUUUAUUGGGUUUAAAGGGUGCGUAGGUGGGAGCUUAAGUCCGUGGUGAAAGACGAUCGCUCAACGAUUGCAGUGCCAUGGAUACUGAGUUUCUUGAAUGACGUUGAGGUGGGCGGAAUUGACCGUGUAGCGGUGAAAUGCUUAGAUAUGGUCAAGAACCCCGAUUGCGUAGGCAGCUCACUGGACGUUGAUUGACACUGAGGC